rnacentral:tRNA from 1 species
AUAAACAUAUGUUAAUUUUUAAACUUUUUGGUUUCAAACCAAAAGAUUUUUGUUUAUA